rnacentral:rRNA from 1 species
CAGUCGCCGCGGGAAUACGUAGGGUGCAAGCGUUAAUCGGAAUUACUGGGCGUAAAGCGUGCGCAGGCGGUUAUAUAAGACAGAUGUGAAAUCCCCGGGCUCAACCUGGGAACUGCAUUUGUGACUGUAUAGCUAGAGUACGGCAGAGGGGGAUGGAAUUCCGCGUGUAGCAGUGAAAUGCGUAGAUAUGCGGAGGAACACCGAUGGCGAAGGCAAUCCCCUGGGCCUGUACUGACGCUCAUGCACGAAAGCGUGGGGAGCAAACAGGAUUAGAUACCCCCGUAGUCCCUGUCUCUUAUCA